GCGUCUCUGGGCGGCCACUGUGUGUGUCAUCGCAGCACUCUGCCAAGAUGUCCAAGGAGACCCAGACCCAGGACCAGCCCAUGGAGGAAGAGAAGGUGGAGACCUUCGCCUUUCAGGCGGAGAUCGCGCAGCUGAUGUCCCUGAUCAUUAACACCUUUUACUCGAACAAAGAAAUUUUCCUGAGGGAGUUGAUUUCCAAUUCGUCUGAUGCUUUGGACAAAAUCAGGUAUGAAAGCCUGGCAGAUCCCAGUAAGCUUGACUCUGGCAAGGAGCUGCACAUUAACCUCAUUCUGAACGAGCAAGAUCGCACCCUCACCAUCGUGGAUACUGGGAUUGGAAUGACCAAGGCCAACCUGAUCAAUAACCUCGGCACCAUAGCCAAGUCGGGCACCAAGGCCUUCAUGGAGGCUUUGCAGGCAGGCGCUGACAUCGCCAUGAUUGGCCAGUUCGGUGUGGGUUUCUACUCUGCUUACCUGGUUGCUGAGAAAGUGACUGUGAUCACCAAGCAUAACGAUGAUGAGCAGUAUGCCUGGGAGUCCUCAGCAGGAGGGUUCUUCACUGUGAGGACAGACGCGGGUGAACCUAUGGGCCGAGGAACAAAGGUUAUCUUGCAUCUGAAAGAAGACCAAACUGAGUACUUGGAAGAAAGAAGAAUAAAAGAGAUUGUGAAGAAGCAUUCACAGUUCAUUGGUUAUCCCAUUACUCUUUUUGUGGAGAAGGAACAAGAUAAAGAAGUGAGUGAUGAUGAGGCUGAAGAAAAGGAGGACAAAGAGGAAGACAAAGAAAAAGAAGAAAAGGAGUCUGAUGACAAGCCUGAAAUAGAAGAUGUUGAUUCUGAUGAAGAAGAGGAAGAAAACAAGGAUGGUGACAAGAAGAAGAAGAAGAAAAUUAAGGAGAAGUAUAUUGACCAAGAAGAACUGAACAAAACUAAGCCCAUCUGGACCAGAAACCCUGACGAUAUUACUAAUGAGGAGUAUAGGGAGUUCUACAAGAGUCUCACCAAUGACUGGGAGGAUCACCUGGCAGUGAAGCAUUUUUCCGUGGAAGGACAGUUGGAAUUCAGGGCUCUUCUUUUUGUCCCACGGCGAGCUCCUUUUGACUUAUUUGAAAACAGAAAGAGGAAGAGCAACAUCAAGUUGAAUGUCCGCAGAGUUUUUAUCAUGGAUAACUGUGAGGAGCUGAUCUCUGAGUAUCUGAAUUUCAUCAGAGGGGUGGUGGACUCUGAGGAUCUCCCUCUAAAUAUUUCUCGGGAAAUGUUACAGCAGAGCAAAAUUUUGAAAGUCAUCAGAAAGAAUUUGGUAAAGAAGUGCUUAGAGUUGUUCACUGAACUCGCAGAGGAUAAGGAGAACUACAAGAAGUUCUAUGAGCAGUUUUCUAAAAACAUAAAGCUUGGCAUACAUGAAGACUCUCAGAAUCAGAAGAAGCUUUCAGAACUACUACGCUACUACACAUCUGCUUCUGGGGAUGAGAUGGUUUCUCUCAAGGACUACUGUACUAGGAUGAAGGAGAACCAGAAGCACAUCUAUUACAUCACAGGUGAAACCAAGGACCAGGUAGCUAACUCUGCCUUUGUGGAAUGGCUCCAGAAGCACGGCUUAGAAGUGAUCUACAUGAUCGAGCCCAUUGAUGAGUACUGUGUUAAGCAGCUGAAGGAAUUUGAGGGGAAAACUUUAGUGUCGGUUACCAAAGAGGGCUUGGAACUUCCAGAAGAUGAAGAGGAGAAAGGGAAGGCUGAGAGUGUCUCCAUCACUGCCCUGUAUCCUCAGCACCGGGCACAGGACUGGAGAACUGACAUUGAGCUGAUCAGGGAGUCGCCACGUGUCCCUAUGCCACCUGUGCUGAGCGAUGCGCAGCCCUCUGGACAUGGAGCUAGGCUUAGGGAUGGGGGUCCUCCACCUCCUCAGGCUUGGCAUCUCGGCCUGAGCCACAAGGGGCGCACUCCGCGCCUCUUUGCAGGGGUUGCGCAGGUUAGCAAGGACCAGCGUGAGAGACUAGACGCCACCGUGGCGGACUCUUUGUUGCUCCCACUGCCCCCAUCCGGACCGCGGCUGCCCGCAGUGCCUCGGGACUCUAAUCUGCGGCUUGAAGGAGGAGUCCCGGGCGGCUCCAGCCCACCGUCUUCCCGCCCCUCCGACGCUCGCAGGUCAAGCCACGUUCCUGGCACUAGCUCUUCGCAGGCCCCUGGGCCUUUCCCGAGGCGUGGGCUGCAGCCGCACCCCAUGCGUGCCUGA